CACCAGCGUUAAGGUCUAAAUGUCUGAAGCUUUUCUAUAUGAGGGUCAUUUUAGUAACGGUUUCCUUCCCUUCUAAAUGUUUUGUUAACCUGCACAUGAACGCAGAAAUCUCAAUUAACGGAGAUCAAACUUUUCAUUUUUUCCUGCUUCCUCUCCUGCUCUGGUUAAAAAAAGAUUCAUCAAGUUCAAAUCAUGGCAGCGAUAGCAGCACUUCCGGUGACUCCUGCCACAACCUUCAACGGCCACCGGUGUUAUAGAUUUACUGGUGGCGGCAUCUGGGAGAGACCGAUGUUUCUGUGGGCGUGGCUUUUUAGGACCCCUUUACCGAACCAGGAAAUAAACAAUGCGAUAAGCUUAAACAACUACAAACCUUUGAAUAAAUACUAUCCGAUUCCGUAAGACACCCAUUAAGAUCCCGGAAAUUACUAAUUAGAAACACUUUAAUUGGUUUUUUCUGGUUGAAACACGUCAACGGAAGAUCGAAGUAGAUCUCAAGAUGCCAUAAACGGAUCUCAAAGCAAAGAUUAUUCCCUGAAAGCCGAAAUAAGUGUUUGAAGAGCCAUGGGAUUAAAAAUUAAACAUUUAAAACGAU